CCUACGGGUGGCAGCAGUGGGGAAUAUUGGGCAAUGGGCGCAAGCCUGACCCAGCAACGCCGCGUGAAGGAAGAAGGCUCUCGGGUUGUUAACCUCUUUUGAUAGCGAAGUGUAGAAGACGGUACCUGUCGAAUUAGCAAUGGCUAACUACGUGCCAGCAGCUGCGGUAAUACGUAGGUCGCAAGCGUUAUCCGGAAUUACUGGGUGUAAAGGGAGUGUAGGCGGGUUGACAAGUCAGAUGUGAAAUACUGGUGCGUAACCGAAGAACGGCAGUUGAGACUGUGGAUCUUGAGUAUUGAAGAGGCAGACGGAAUGCGUAGUGUAGCGGUGAAAUGCAUAGAUAUUACGAAGAACACCGGUGGCGAAGGCAGCCUGCUGGACAGCAACUGACGGUGAGGCGCGAAAGCGUGGGGAGCAAACAGGAUUAGAUACCCCAGUAGUC
rnacentral:rRNA from 1 species